rnacentral:lncRNA from 1 species
GAUCCAUCCCUUAUCUGUUGCUGGCAAACUGUCUGUAAAUAGUCAAUCCAGAACACUCCUCUAGGUUGUUUUUUCUUGCUCUCUCCCUUCCCCCUUCUCCUCUCCAUCUUGGAAGUAUUCGCCUUUGCAGUCUCCACCCUCUGUAGAGACUCUGUGCUCUCUGCACCCGGAAUGAGUCAGCAUGUGGAUACAUACCUGCAUUUCUAGGGAAAUGGACUGGGGUUAUCAGAAAACUCAAUCUGUCCAACCAUGGAUAAAAAUCAAGACAUUUUAUUGCAACCCAGAUAGUUAGCUCAGCAGCUGCACUCUGGAACAUACAGUACAACUCCUUUGGGAAAUACCUAGUUGGGAGUGACUUUCGGUCUCUUGGGUAAAAUGUUCCCUUCUCAUACAGCAAACCUUUUGUAAAAGGGAAACAGACUCCAUCCAAACUGGGUGGUAACUGGAGAUAAAGGCAGGCCACUCCUGUUUGAAUGUUUGUCAUUUUGAUGAGGAUUUUGUUUAACAAGGUUUCUACCUUAUCUGUCUUCUUUCAGAUUUACAGCUCCAGAGCCCA